CCUACGGGAGGCAGCAGUGGGGGAUAUUGCACAAUGGGGGAAACCCUGAUGCAGCGACGCCGCGUGGGCGAAGAAGUAUUUCGGUAUGUAAAGCCCUAUCAGCAGGGAAGAAGAUAUGACGGUACCUGAGUAAGAAGCACCGGCUAAAUACGUGCCAGCAGCCGCGGUAAAACGAAUGGUGCAAGCGGUAUCCGGAUUUACUGGGUGUAAAGGGAGCGCAGGCGGCACGGCAAGCCUGAUGUGAAAGCCCGCGGCCCAACCGCGGGACUGCAUUGGGAACUACCGGGCUGGAGUGCCGGAGAGGUAGGCGGAAUUCCUAGUGUAGCGGUGAAAUGCGUAGAUAUUAGGAGGAACACCAGUGGCGAAGGCAGCCUACUGGACGGUGACUGACGCUGAGGCUCGAAAGCGUGGGGAGCAAACAGGAUUAGAUACCCCAGUAGUC
rnacentral:rRNA from 1 species